UGCAGGGUUGGAAUGUGAUAGGAUGGUAGGAAAAUUCCAGGUUGAAGUAAUAAUAUGAAGGCAAUAAGUGAAAGGCCAUUUUUUCCACCAAGAAUUUCUGUUAGGAUCUUUCAAAGCUUAGCAGAAAGAGAAUAUUUAAAAGGCAAAUGGAGUGCAAAGGAGAAGAAAGCAGGAUGAGGAAGAAAAGGAAGUCUGGUUUUGUGAACAGAAAGCAAAAAGACGAAGCAUCACCCUGGACGCCUGCAACCCGGUGAUCAGAUUGCAAGGAGCUGACACAGUUAUGAGCACACAUGGAGUUAAGGUGCAUGGAUCGUUGGGGAUGCCUAUAAACCCACGGCCAGGAGCAAGUCAGACUGAACUGGAGGAUGGACAGUCCUGACUGUACAUAGUCUGCUUGCCACAAUCUCUGCUCGUCUCAAUUCUGGGCAUCUUGAAUUACAUCAUGCGGUAUUAAGUAGGAGAAAAAAUAACAUAAAUGAGAUGUACAAGUAAUUCAAAAAGUCUGUAUUUGAUACUUUUUCUUUCCACUCUGUGAAAAUAAUCUUUUUCCAUCUAAUGAGAGAUUGGCAGAAGGGAUGAGGAAAAGCAAAGCAAAAGGAACAAAGAAUUUACCAACUGGAUGAUCCAACUCUGAGGCUGUGUCCGUGGUGAAGUUGUCUCCUUCAAGCUGUCCACAGCUUCUCUUCGGAAGGUGUUCCCUCCAGCCCACACUGAAGGACCAGGAGGACAAGCUCUACCUCCUUGAAGACUGAGCAUCUACACACAUUAUUUGGGGAAUUUCUGCAAGACAGAAUGUCUCUUCUUCAUUUAUUUACUUAGUCACUUAUGUCAGCAUAGAUUCAUGGAAAUUUACUUUAGACUUUGAAUGAUAGUCAAUUAGCACUUUAUUUAUUGUGGUUAUUCAUAUUGCCCCAACUGUCACACUGGAAGCUCUUUCAUUUGGCUCCGAUGUUCCUUUGAAAUACUCCCAUCAUUGUAUUGUGUUUGUUUUUUGCCAAUCACUUUCUUAUUUUCUGGCACUGUGAAUUGCUCCUUUUAUGUAGGUUUUUUUUGCUCCAGUCCUAGAAUCAGACUUUUCUCCAGG
ensembl:lncRNA